rfam:Edhazardia aedis TSNM 41457 supercont1.181, whole genome shotgun sequence.
UCCCCCAUGGUCCAAUGGUUAGAAUUUUAGCCUUUCAAGCUAGAGAUCCGGGUUCGAUCCCCGGUGGAGGAA